rnacentral:lncRNA from 1 species
GUCCAAUGAAUUUGUAUAUACUCAGUUACAGAUAGUGCACAUAUGCUUGAAAGGAGCCCUUUUCUCGAUUUUAUGUUCACUUUGCAAAGUUGCAAAGCUGUUGCAUGCUUGAUGUAUGAUUUACUUCCUCAAAUUCAGCACCUAGCUUCAACAAGGCAAUCUUUAGGCAUGGCAGGCAUAAGGAAUACCAGGCCACCCAGGACAGAAUUUCUCUCUCUCGGCAUGCUUUCCAUAUUUUGUUAGAAAAAGGGCCAAACCUUCCUAGCCUUGAUUAGAGGGAAGAAAAUUUCGUCCAGCCUCGAUUGAAAUUGCUUCCGCUGCAGCCCUACCUCAAAUGGAUGCCUCAUGAAAUAGGAAUCAAUCGCACACUUACUGCUAGCUCUCAGCAUAGUAGGCCAUUGGAUGACUCAACUCCAGAAAUAAGGACACGGGACUAGAAUCCACUGGCCAUAUCUCUGCGAUAAAGCCAGACAGUUCCAGAUAACUGCUGCCAGCCGCCACAUCCUUCUGUCUAAGCAUAGGCCAGCUAUGGCACUGCAGCCAGAUGUUGUAUAUCAGUUCAUUCAAUCAUGCAGGUCAGGCCAUGGUUUCAGUAGUGGUGGCCAGCCGGAGAGCUUCACUACUCAGAAGAGACAGAAAAAAGCACAGAUGAGAAGGAAAAUUUGGGCCGAGUUUUGGGCACAGACAUAUAAGUUGGUGUAUAUUUUUUCAGACAUGACCAUGUACAAAAUGGCAGAAAUUGCAGACUCUACCAAUUGUAGAUAGGAGUCAUGUAUGCAUGAUGGCCGGUUUUUUUCAUGAGAGCUGGGGAUUGACGUGAUACAUCCUGAACAAAAAAUGGCAUGCAUUGAAUAAGUUUUCAAAUGGCCUGCUUUCGUGGCUGAAUGCUUAGAGCUGACUGAGUUUGUGAAGAUUAACAAAAGUGUCCAUGCUAUUGCCAUGAUAACAGACUGACAAUAGACUGAUUCGCAGUGCAAAGUAUACUGAAUAAAAGCUCUACUUUACUUUCUUUACAUCUACAAUACAAGUUACAUGCGAU